UACGUAGGGAGCGAGCGUUGUCCGGAAUUACUGGGCGUAAAGGGUGCGUAGGCGGCUUGGCAAGUCAGAUGUGAAAUCCCCGGGCUUAACUCGGGAGUUGCAUUUGAAACUGCUAGGCUUGAGUGCAGGAGAGGAAAGCGGAAUUCCUAGUGUAGCGGUGAAAUGCGUAGAUAUUAGGAGGAACACCAGUGGCGAAGGCGGCUUUCUGGACUGUAACUGACGCUGAGGCACGAAAGCGUGGGGAGCAAACAGG
rnacentral:rRNA from 1 species